CAACAGGGAUUGCCCCAGUAACGGCGAGUGAAGCGGCAACAGCUCAAAUUUGAAAUCUGGCCCCUCCCAGGGGCCCGAGUUGUAACUUGCAGAGGAUGCUUUUGGCGAGGUGCCUUCCGAGUUCCCUGGAACGGGACGCCAUAGAGGGUGAGAGCCCCGUCUGGUUGGAUGCCGAGCCUCUAUAAAGCUCCUUCGACGAGUCGAGUAGUUUGGGAAUGCUGCUCUAAAUGGGAGGUAUAUGUCUUCUAAAGCUAAAUACCGGCCAGAGACCGAUAGCGCACAAGUAGAGUGAUCGAAAGAUGAAAAGCACUUUGAAAAGAGGGUUAAACAGUACGUGAAAUUGUUGAAAGGGAAGCGCCUAUGACCAGACUCGAGCCCGGUGAAUCAACCAGCGUUCUCGCUGGCGCAUUUUGCCGGGUUCAGGCCAGCAUCAGUUUGCCCCGGGGGACAAAGGCUCCGGGAACGUGGCUCCUUCGGGAGUGUUAUAGCCCGUUGCACAAUACCCUGGGGCGGACUGAGGUUCGCGCAUCUGCAAGGAUGCUGGCGUAAUGGUCAUCAGCGACCCGUCUUGAAACACGGACCAAGGAGUCGUCUUCGUAUGCGAGUGUUUGGGUGUUAAACCCCUACGCGUAAUGAAAGUGAACGCAGGUGAGAGCUUCGGCGCAUCAUCGACCGAUCCUGAUGUUCUCGGAUGGAUUUGAGUAAGAGCAUACGGGGCCGGACCCGAAAGAAGGUGAACUAUGCCUGUAUAGGGUGAAGCCAGAGGAAACUCUGGUGGAGGCUCGCAGCGGUUCUGACGUGCAAAUCGAUCGUCAAAUAUGGGCAUGGGGGCGAAAGACUAAUCG
rnacentral:rRNA from 1 species